GCCUACGGGGGGCAGCAGUGGGGAAUAUUGCACAAUGGGGGGAACCCUGAUGCAGCGACGCCGCGUGAGUGAAGAAGUAUUUCGGUAUGUAAAGCUCUAUCAGCAGGGAAGAAGAUGACGGUACCUGACUAAGAAGCCCCGGCUAACUACGUGCCAGCAGCCGCGGUAAUACGUAGGGGGCAAGCGUUAUCCGGAUUUACUGGGUGUAAAGGGAGCGCAGGCGGCAGCGCAAGUCUGAUGUGAAAGCCCGGGGCCCAACCGCGGGACUGCAUUGGAAACUGCGCAGCUGGAGUGCCGGAGGGGUA
rnacentral:rRNA from 1 species